UACGUAGGGUGCGAGCGUUGUCCGGAAUUAUUGGGCGUAAAGAGCUUGUAGGCGGUUUGUCGCGUCUGCUGUGAAAAUCCGGGGCUCAACCCCGGACUUGCAGUGGGUACGGGCAGACUAGAGUGUGGUAGGGGAGACUGGAAUUCCUGGUGUAGCGGUGAAAUGCGCAGAUAUCAGGAGGAACACCGGUGGCGAAGGCGGGUCUCUGGGCCGAAACUGACGCU
rnacentral:rRNA from 1 species